AGCAUUAACUACUUAUUUUACAGUCAAGUAAGUAAAGCAUAUGAUACUUAUGAGUUAUGAGCGAUUAAUUAUAAAUUUUUGUGAUUACUCUAGCUUGUUACACUAAAAGUUAUAGAACGCACAAUAAAAUAUUCCGGUUCCGAAUUUAAACGACAGUGGAUAAAAUAUUUUUAUUAUUACAAAGUGCAGAUGGACAGGAUAGUUCUGUGAGAAAUUAGGAGACUGAAUAGUCCUAUUCACAGUCCCCGCCGCCAUCUUGGAUACAAACAUGAAAACAAGGCGAGAGUUGACUCAUAAUCAAAACAAACAUUGUUGUCAUUGCUGAGUUUUUGGCAAAAAUGGUUCUAGUUUAUCAAAAUGUCAAUCUCAAUUCGUUAGAAGACAUUCAGAAACUUUCUGUAAAGAGUCUUAGAGAUGUUUUACGUUCCUACAAAGAAAAUACGAGCGGCAUAAAGGCCGAUCUCGUCCUAAAAGUCUACGCGAUUCUUAUGUCACACGUGCUAGAUGGCGGGCCAAGUGUCCGGAAGUAGAAAACCCGCAAGAUUGCGUUACUUUAUAAUACUGUAUUACGUUACAUAUUUAGUUUUGUUAUGUGAUCAUGUUGUAAUUCGAGAUAGGUAAAAAAGGGGGUUGUGCCCCUAGAGUUGAGAUGCGAGUGUACUAUUACUACGGAGAGUUUGUGAUCAAGAAAUAAAGUAAAGAGAAUAUAAGUGAGUUUAUUUGGUUGUCCCCGACAAGCUCAACACAAGUUCAAAGUCAAACUGAAUUAUCAAGCACUGGCCAAGUUUCUCAUAUCUAGUAAAAGACAAGUGUUAGUGGUAGUGCUCCCCCAACAUUACAGGAGGGUCUUUCCAUUUGAAGCUAUAGCAGCAGUCAGCUGUACUUUAGUAGUGCCCAGUCUUUUAACAGUCUUCAUAAUAAAAUCUUGUAGGACAUGCUCACAAUGCCACAAAUACAAUUGUCUGCAAUAGAAAGCCUGUUUUACUUUUUUUUUUAAAUCUAUGUCUCGUACUAUAUACCAGAUUUCUGUUACAUGAUAAUAGCAAACUCAAGUAUAGAAUAUGUGAAAAAUUUGUUUUGGUGAAGAUGAGAAACAACUGACACCCUUCAGUGCUUAUGUACAGUAGACAAUUACUUAUCUAUAAAAAAAACUAAAAAUAGUAAAAGCUAGCUGAAAAAAUGUAUAAAAUAGUAAUAAAUUUCAUUUCUAAUA